GUGAACCAGUACCGUGAGGGAAAGAUGAAAAGUACCCCGAUGAGGGGAGUGAAACAGUACCUGAAACCGGAUGCUUACAAGCUGAGGGAGCUCUUCGGAGUGACCUCGUACCUUUUGUAUAAUGGGUCAACGACUUAGUGUUGCAUGCAAGCUUAAACCGUUAGGUGUAGGCGUAGCGAAAGCGAGUCUGAAUAGGGCGACUGAGUAUGUAGCAUUAGACCCGAAGGCAAGUGAUCUAGGUAUGGGCAGGGUGA
rnacentral:rRNA from 1 species